UACGUAGGGGGCUAGCGUUGUCCGGAAUCAUUGGGCGUAAAGCGUGCGCAGGCGGUGAUGGAAGACAGUUGGGAAAUCCCCGGGCUCAACCUGGGAACUGCAUCUGUGACUGCAUCGCUGGAGUACGGUAGAGGGGGAUGGAAUUCCGCGUGUAGCAGUGAAAUGCGUAGAUAUGCGGAGGAACACCGAUGGCGAAGGCAAUCCCCUGGACCUGUACUGACGCUCAUGCACGAAAGUGUGGGGAGCAAACAGG
rnacentral:rRNA from 1 species